rnacentral:rRNA from 1 species
UGGCUCAGAUCUAACGCUGGCGGCGUGCCUAAUACAUGCAAGUCGCACGAGAAAGUAAAGCUUGCUUUACGAGUAAAGUGGCGCACGGGUGAGUAAUGCAUAAGUAAUCUACCUUCGAAACUGGGACAACCUUCCGAAAGGGGGGCUAAUACCGGAUAAGACCACGAUAUACAUUAUAGUGGUAAAAGAUGACCUCUGCUUGCAAGUUAUCAUUUGAAGAUGAGCUUAUGUCCUAUCAGCUUGUUGGUGGGGUAAAGGCCUACCAAGGCUAUGACGGGUACCUGGUCUGAGAGGAUGACCAGGCACACUGGAACUGAGACACGGUCCAGACUCCUACGGGAGGCAGCAGUAGGGAAUUUUGCGCAAUGGGAGAAAUCCUGACGCAGCGACGCCGCGUGAGUGAUGAAGGCUUUCGGGCUGUAAAACUCUGUUUAGUGGGAAGAAGGGUUUAAGGCUAAUAUCCUUAAGCAUUGACGGUACCACUAGAGUAAGCACCGGCUAACUCCGUGCCAGCAGCCGCGGUAAUACGGAGGGUGCAAGCGUUGAUCGGAAUUACUGGGCGUAAAGCGAGAGCAGGUGGUUUAAUAAGUCAGAUGUGAAAUCUCUAGGCUUAACCUAGAAACUGCAUCUGAUACUAUUAAACUAGAGUGUAAGAGAGGGUGAUGGAAUUCCCAGUGUAGGGGUAAAAUCCGUAGAUAUUGGGAGGAACACCGGAGGCGAAGGCGAUCACCUGGCUUACAACUGACACUCAUCCUCGAGAGCAUGGGUAGCAAACAGGAUUAGAUACCCUGGUAGUCUAUGCUGUAAACGAUGGACACUAGAUGUUGUGGGAUUUGAUCCCUGCAGUAUCGUAGUUAACGCGUUAAGUGUCCCGCCUGGGGAAUACGGUCGCAAGAUUAAAACUCAAAGAAAUUGACGGGGGCCCGCACAAGCGGUGGAGCAUGUGGUUCAAUUCGAGGCAACGCGAAAAACCUUACCUGGGCUUGACAUCCUGCUUUAAAUCAUAGAGAUAUGGUCUAGUCUUCGGACAAGGCAGGACAGGUGCUGCAUGGCUGUCGUCAGCUCGUGUCGUGAGAUGUUGGGUUAAGUCCUGCAACGAGCGCAACCCUUAUCAUUAGUUGCCAUCAUUAAGUUGGGUACUCUAAUGAGACUGCCGGUGUUAAACCGGAGGAAGGUGGGGAUGACGUCAAGUCAUCACGGCCCUUAUGUCCAGGGCUACACACGUGCUACAAUGGUCGGUACAAAGAGCUGCAAACCCGCAAGGGGGAGCUAAUCUCAAAAAGCCGAUCUCAGUUCGGAUCGGAGUCUGCAAUUUGACUUCGUGAAGCUGGAAUCGCUAGUAAUCGCGAAUCAGCAUGUCGCGGUGAUACGUUCCCGGGCCUUGUACACACCGCCCGUCACACCACGAAAGUUUAUUGUACCAGAAGAGGUGAAGCUACUUUUGAGGCUACUUCUAAGGUAUGAUCGAUGAUUGGGGUGAAGUCGU